AAUUGGUCGGGAGCUGAUGCCACUCUCUUGACGAGGCCAUGGCAGGUUAAAACCAAUU
rnacentral:hammerhead_ribozyme from 15 species